ACCCUCAUUUCAGCCCUAACCCUAAUCACCUUAGGGUGAAUAACUCGGCGCCGCUGGCUCGAAACGUGCUGAAAUUGGGUGUGGGUGCGUGGCUGUCUCCCCUUGACUAUGUGUGAAAUGCCCGAGUCGCUACGACGUUCAGACAAAAAGUUAUUGAGAAAUAGCUCGUACUUUUUCUUCGAGAUGUGCUGGUUUGACCCCUUGCGGAGGUCGUAGACGCUCGGGGGUGGUACCAGUGGAUCGGGCAUCCCCACAUUAGUCCA
rnacentral:misc_RNA from 1 species